UAGCUUGACACUGAACAUUGAGCCUUGAUGUGUAGGAUAGGUGGGAGGCUUUGAAGCGUGGACGCCAGUCUGCGUGGAGCCGACCUUGAAAUACCACCCUUUAAUGUUUGAUGUUCUAACGUGGACCCGUAAUCCGGGUUGCGGACAGUGUCUGGUGGGUAGUUUGACUGGGGCGGUCUCCUCCUAAAGAGUAACGGAGGAGCACGAAGGUUGGCUAAUCCUGGUCGGACAUCAGGAGGUUAGUGCAAUGGCAUAAGCCAGCUUGACUGCGAGCGUGACGGCGCGAGCAGGUGCGAAAGCAGGUCAUAGUGAUCCGGUGGUUCUGAAUGGAAGGGCCAUCGCUCAACGGAUAAAAGGUACUCCGGGGAUAACAGGCUGAUACCGCCCAAGAGUUCAUAUCGACGGCGGUGUUUGGCACCUCGAUGUCGGCUCAUCACAUCCUGGGGCUGAAGUAGGUCCCAAGGGUAUGGCUGUUCGCCAUUUAAAGUGGUACGCGAGCUGGGUUUAGAACGUCGUGAGACAGUUCGGUCCCUAUCUGCCGUGGGCGCUGGAGAACUGAGGGGGGCUGCUCCUAGUACGAGAGGACCGGAGUGGACGCAUCACUGGUGUUCGGGUUGUCAUGCCAAUGGCACUGCCCGGUAGCUAAAUGCGGAAGAGAUAAGUGCUGAAAGCAUCUAAGCACGAAACUUGCCCCGA
rnacentral:rRNA from 1 species